AACGAACGCUGGCGGCAUGCCUAAUACAUGCAAGUCGAGGGGCAGCACGGUUAGCAAUAACUGGUGGCGACCGGCGCACGGGUGCGUAACACGUAUACAAUCUACCUUAAACAGGGGGAUAGCCUUUCGAAAGAGAGAUUAAUACCCGUAAUAAAUUGAACGGCAUCGUUUGAUUUUGAAAGCUCCGGCGGUUUGAGAUGAGUAUGCGUCUGAUUAGCUAGUUGGUGAGGUAACGGCUCACCAAGGCGACGAUCAGUAGGGGAUCUGAGAGGACUAACCCCCCACACUGGUACUGAGACACGGACCAGACUCCUACGGGAGGCAGCAGUAAGGAAUAUUGGUCAAUGGAGGCAACUCUGAACCAGCCAUGCCGCGUGCAGGAUGACGGCCCUAUGGGUUGUAAACUGCUUUUGACCAGGGCCAAAUACUCAUGCGUGAGGAAUUGAGAGUACUGGUAGAAUAAGCACCGGCUAACUCCGUGCCAGCAGCCGCGGUAAU
rnacentral:rRNA from 1 species